AUCACGACUAGGGUUUUCGCUUUGGCCAGCACCCUGCCUCUAUAAAUCAGAAGCGAGGAGCCAACGCCGCCAUCAUCCCGCCCGUCCCCAACUCGCCGAAUCCGCAGCCGCCGCAGAGCUCGAGUCCGAGCUCUGCCCCCGCCGCCGCCAUGAGGGCCAAGUGGAAGAAGAAGAGAAUGAGGAGGCUCAAGAGGAAGCGCCGAAAGAUGAGGCAGAGAUCCAAGUAGGCGCACCUCGAGGAUGAAGGAAAUCGUCUGCUGCAUUGCCGUGUAGGCUUGUUGGGAUGAUGACCUGAUGUGCUUCUGUGCAGAUGCAAGAGAUGUUACCUUCUUGGGUUCUAGUUUAAUUUUAGCCCAUCAAGACUCUGGUCUUUGUUCUAAGGCUGGGUUUAAUGUAAUGUGAGGAUAAUCAUAUGUUGCUUUGUGACUGAAGUUUAUGCAGUUAAAUGAGAUUUCUGGCACUAAGAAAUUCGCUCACUGUCUAUCUGAUGUCCCGGUCAGUUUAGUAUUUCUGCUAUUUUCUCAUGCUGUGACAAAAUGUCAGAUGUUUCAAUGCCGCAGCAGUUUCUGCAUUCUAAAAUUUAGCUUGGUAUUAGUUGAGGCAUGAUUGCAAUUUAUGGUGAGUGCAUAACACUCACUUUAUAUGAAGUUACCAACGGUUUGUUUUGCUUGUGCAUUGCUUCAAUCAGGAUAAUGCCGAUUCCAUUUCUGCUGUCUGCUCAUGCCUUGUCAAUGUUGAUAGCACUCCAUUGUGGUUAUAUUCAAGUCUGAAAUGUUUUUAUCUCGCAAUUUUGUGGCUAUGAUCAAUACUGAAAUAUGUUUAAUCCGCAAUCGGAGAUAGGUUUUUUGUGACGCCUCUCAUUUGGGUACAACUCUAGAAUCUGCAGUCGGUGUCGGAGAUAGUUGGCUGUACUUUGGGAUGAGGUUUGCAUUUGCUUUAUGUGGAUGAACGAUAUUGCCCGUCUAGUUCCAAACAGGUGUCUUUCAGUGAGCUUUGGCGGUGGCUCGUGAUUUCGUGAAGGGGAAACAGAUGAGGUGCACCACUCCCUUAUCCGCUGGGCCUUAGCCCUCCACUCUGUGAGCUUCUCAACUCCAUCCAUGGAGAUGAUGGAGGCCAUGGCCAGGGCAAGCGUAGCUUCCUCGGCGCAGCUCCGCCCCUGCCCGAGCCCGCGCCGGAACCGCUGCCUACCGUCCUCCGUGCGCCGUCCCAGGCGACGAGGUGUCGCUUGCUCGGCCUCGGCGGCCGACGCCGACGUGGUCGACCUCUUCGACGCCGCCAAGCUAACGGUGGACAAGUUCGUGAAGAGCGGCAUGGUGGUCGGGCUGGGCUCCGGCCCGGCGUCCGCCCUGGCGGUCCAGUACCUCGGCACGCGCCUCCGCCGGGGAUCUCUCACCGACAUCGUCGCAGUGACCUCCCAGGUCCGUGCUCAGUGCUAGCGAGGCAGACAUGGCUGGAAUACGGGCAAGCAGCUACCAGGAAGGAACCCAGAUUGAUUUUGCUUUCACUGAUGCUGAAGUAAUCGAGGAGGGCACACUGGCUGCUGUCAUCGGGCAGCGCAAGACCGAGAGUGGAGAGCCCUCUUUCAUGGUGGAGAAGACAAUGGUUAAAUCAGCUGAUAAACUUGCCUUCAUCACUGGAAAUGACAAAUACCUGACAGGCGUCGAGGGUUCCUUUCCCGUCCUGGUUAAAAGUGUAAGAGAAGAAUUCUGUUGUUUCAGAUAUCGUCAUUCUUAUGCAUGUUUAUGAAGAGAGGAACAGACUAUUUCAGGGAAAUUGGAUAGACACUGCCGAAGAGAUCGAUGAUUUGUUCCUAGGGGAUGCAGAGGUUUGGAGGAGGCCAUCAUUUGGGACUGCCGGUCCCCUGGGGGGUGAUCACCCAUUGGUCACCAAGGAGGGUCAUCACGUACUUGAUGUGAUCUUUACGACUCCCAUCCCUGAUCUUGGUACGCUGGUGGAAAACCAUUGCAAUAAAGGAGCUUAACUCAGCUUGAAUCCAAGCAACCAUUUCUUGGGCGAAAGCUGUAUAGCUGGUUGUUUUGCCAUCUUUUUUGCAGGCCAGGUAGCAGAGAAGCUGGAGAAAAUUGCUGGCGUUGUGGAUCAUGGGAUUAUUUGUAGCAAUCAAUCAUAUGCGGUGAUUGCAUCGAAGGGGGAAGUGCAGGUUAUUGAGGAGAAAUCCCCAGUGAUACCAUAGUGUAGUGCUGCAGAAUUCUCCAGUUGCCUGAGGAAGCGCCAUUUUUCUCCACAUUCCGGAUAAGAGUCUACUUGCAAGUUGGCUGGAAAAUGCCAAGAGUUAGUCGCACAGUAGCAGCGCAUUUCAUCUUUUCACUACCCAACAUUCUCAUCAAUGCUGUUUUAUAGGCCCUGUUUAGUUCCCACCCCCAUAAACCCCGUAAACACAAAAAAAACGUCA